UCCCCCGUGAGGGGGCAGUCUCGCCUGACUUAUAAAACAGGCAACGCGGGUUGCGUUCGUUACCCCACUGAAGGGAACAACUCAAGCCACGAACUGACGACGACCAUGCAUCACCUGCCCAACCGUCUUGCGAAAGAAUAGUUUCCUAUCCGGUCGUUUGGGCUUCAAACCCUGGUGAGGUUUUUCGUUUACCAUCGAAUUGAGCCGCAUGAUCCACCGCUUGUGCAAGUCCCCGUCUAUUCCUUUGAGUUUUAAUCUUGCGAUCGUACUACCCAGGCGCACAACUUAACGCGUUAGCUUCGCCACAAAGAGGGUCGAUACUCCUUAUAGCCAGUUGUGAUCGUUUAGGGCGUGGACUAC
rnacentral:misc_RNA from 1 species